rnacentral:rRNA from 1 species
CGCUGGCGGAAUGCUUUACACAUGCAAGUCGAACGGCAGCACGGGAGCUUGCUCCUGGUGGCGAGUGGCGAACGGGUGAGUAACACGUCGGAACGUAUCCAUGUAAUGGGGGAUAACGCAGCGAAAGCUGUGCUAAUACCGCAUACGCCCUCCGGGGGAAAGCAGGGGAUCUUAGGACCUUGCGUUAUUGGAGCGGCCGACGUCUGAUUAGCUAGUUGGUGGGGUAAAGGCCUACCAAGGCGACGAUCAGUAGCUGGUCUGGGAGGAUGAUCAGCCACACUGGAACUGAGACACGGUCCAGACUCCUACGGGAGGCAGCAGUGGGGAAUUUUGGACAAUGGGGGCAACCCUGAUCCAGCCAUUCCGCGUGAGUGAAGAAGGCCUUCGGGUUGUAAAGCUCUUUCGGCAGGGAAGAAACGAUUCUGGCCAAUACCCGGGAUUAAUGACGGUACCUGAAGAAGAAGCACCGGCUAACUACGUGCCAGCAGCCGCGGUAAUACGUAGGGUGCGAGCGUUAAUCGGAAUUACUGGGCGUAAAGCGUGCGCAGGCGGUUUUUCAAGUCUGAUGUGAAAGCCCCGGGCUUAACCUGGGAACUGCGUUGGAAACUGAAAGACUAGAGUGCGGCAGAGGGGGGUAGAAUUCCACGUGUAGCAGUGAAAUGCGUAGAUAUGUGGAGGAAUACCGAUGGCGAAGGCAGCCCCCUGGGUCGACACUGACGCUCAUGCACGAAAGCGUGGGUAGCAAACAGGAUUAGAUACCCUGGUAGUCCACGCCCUAAACGAUGUCAACUAGUUGUUGGGGAGGGAGACCUCCUUAGUAACGCAGCUA